ACUAGAAGACGAAGAGUUGUUCAGUGUCAGUGCUGUUCCGGACACAGUGACUAAGCAAACUUUAGACGAGUGUUUGCGUUAUGAACAAAGAUUUUAGUUAAGAUUACUAGCCUCUUUUUUGUAGAUUAACGUAAGAGGUUGGAUAAUCAUUGGGAUAUAAAUGUCCCUAAGGAAGAGAACAUGGGUGUCGGUCAUUUUCUUUUUUUAUCAACCAUUAUCGGAGCUGGAUAGCCGUUUAGUUCUCGAAAAGGUGAUCGCUCACGAGAAAAUUCUGUGGUUGUUGUAGGAACUGAGCAUUCGUGGUUUACAGUAAUGUUUCUCUCAAUUUCAAAUGGGGCAACUCGAGUACUGUACAUGAAUGGGAAUCUGAGAGCUGAAAUCUGGAGAAUCAAGUUCCAAGAUUCUGUGGACUGCCCGGGAAAUCUAAAUUCACAUCAUUUUUGACCAGCAUUGGUACCGUACAUGACUGGUAAUCUGUGAGGUGAUAUCUGGAGACUCCAGUUCCAAGUUUGUGUGGAUUGGCAGGGUGAAAUGUGAAUUCUCCACAUAAUGUUUUACUAACAUUUCGAAUGAGCUUGGGAGGAUGGAGAGAACUUUACACGCCCAGAUGAAGGGAGGAUUGAUCGUGUAGAGGACACGACCAGAACAAGGGAGGAUGGAUCGUGUAGAGGACUUUAAGAGAAUAUGGUGGCAAAACGGGGCAAGUUUAAAUUUAUGGACAUAAAACAAGUUCUCGAGCAACUAUAAUUAUGUAACUUGCACAAAUAAGCAUUUUAAAGUUUACCUCACAAUCAUUUUCUAAAAUAGUAAAAACUAGUUCCUAUGUGUCCAUCUGCGAGGCUGUUGCUUCUCUAGUGUCUACCUUCUCGUUCAACCUCUACUGGGUCACACACAAGACUAUUUUACUUCUCUUCUGUGUCGUAUUACGCGUUAAUUGCUUCUCUUUCACAUUCAAUCUCUUCCAUCGCUGAAGUUAAGUUUCGUAUUUGUCACACUAUGAGUGUUGCUCUUCCUCGUUGCUUCUCUUCUAUAGCAGAGGUUAGUUUCUCCUCUUCUGUUUCAAACUAAGAGUCUGUUGCUUCUCUUUCUCAUUCAAUCUCUUCCAUUGCUGAAGUUAGCAACUAGUGUCGAACUACGAGGCCGUAAUUUUUUUUAGGGGUGAAGUCGAGUCGUCGUUAAUUUUGAUUCUGCUGAUAUUUACGAAUGGAGCGUGGGCUCCCAAUUGGUUCAGCGUAUUCCGAGCAGUUUUUGAGAUUUAUAACUCGCAGAAGACAAUCCUAACCAGGAGUGGUAGUAACCUUCUCGAUUAUUGUGAUUAUUAUAUUUACAACACUAUUUAAUAUGAUUACUACUAAUUUUGUUAUUACAACACUAGUUAAUACUUGUGAUUAUUAAAUUAUAUUUACAACG